rnacentral:rRNA from 1 species
GAUGAACGCUGGCGGCAUGCCUAAUACAUGCAAGUCGAACGAGCCCUCCGGGACCAGUCUCGUCUGACUUUGUAGCCCGACGGAUACUUCACACGUGUUUACCAUACCUAUCCGACUGGGAUACCUUCGCGGAACCGUAUCUACGACCCAAUGAUUUAUCGACUUUGGAUGGGCACGCGUUAGAUUAGCUUGUUGGUAGGGUAAAAGCCUACCAAGGCGACGAUCCAUAGCUGGUCUGAGAGGAUGAUCAGCCACACUGGGACUGAGACACGGCCCAGACUCCUACGGGAGGCAGCAGUGGGGAAUAUUGGACAAUGGGCGAAAGCCUGAUCCAGCAAUGCCGCGUGAGUGAUGAAGGCCUUAGGGUUGUAAAGCUCUUUUACCCGGGAUGAUAAUGACAGUACCGGGAGAAUAAGCUCCGGCUAACUCCGUG